rnacentral:autocatalytically_spliced_intron from 1 species
GUGCGACACGCGUAGCGUGUCUCCGACUCCAAGCUGUAGGGCCAGCUUGGAGGAUUUCCGAGAGGAAAUCGCACGCUUGGGUAUCCAUCCCCAGGAACCAAAACCCGCCCAGAAGUCCAUUGCCUUCAAGGACUUGCCGCAGCGGCGGUGGCAACCCCAAGGUCGCCUAGCACUCGGAAGCGCGACUGCGAACCGGCUCUUUUCGGUUCUGGAGUGCAUGCCCAAUGGAGGGUGUUAUGAAUGAGAUGAGCCAAGAUACCUUCGGCAUAAUCAUGCUCACCGGCUUGCUUCUCGUCUGUUUAGGGAUGGCAGCCUGGGCGGAUUGGCCGAGGAUCAAAAGCUACCUCAAACGACCGCCCUCCAAGCACUAACCCCGGCCCUUGUGGCCUAACCCUUGCGGGAGAGAAUCCCCGCUGGGGUUCCUCCUGCCUCAAAACAGGAGGAAACCUUCCCCGAGAGCACGCUGCGCCCGCAGUACCUGCUCACAUCAAACUGGAGACAUGGGCGGAAGCUCUGUCUGUCAUUGUCCAACCACGCCCAUCAGGGUGCGGUAGCGGACUCGUUGUGCGACCAACGGUAGCCUACGACGACGUGCAUCGCUGGUAACGGCGUUGUGCGAAGCUCGUCCGACAACGUAGCCCCCUAUCCAGGGUGCAGUCCUUCCGCGAGGCAGACUGCAGAUACUCGGAGCAGUACCGGGUUGAGGCGCCAGGCUGGCUGGUAUGGGCAACACAUGUGAAUCGCUGAUAAACACCGUAAGGAUAGCCAUGCCAAAACUGCUGUCAGGCAUGAACCAAAAGGUAUGUGGUCGGUUAUCUCCGUGGGAUGUGGGGAUACGUCGCCUUCAAGACCACCGGUGAAAAGGCGAGUCCUAACCCAGUCGUGUGACAGAUAGGGAACGUGGUAAGCCCGUAUCGCCGCCCUCUGGGCAGGGGAGCCGCAAGGCGAACUGUUGGUGGUGCGGGUAUGGGAUCGCAGAGAAAGCGAAUGCCGGGCUGUAAUGGUCUGGAUAGGGGUUGAGACAUCACCCCACGGGAAACCGGGCAGACUUCUGCGUGGUCUUCCGUCGCAACAGCUCUGACAGAGACCGUCUCAAUCAACCCAGGGCCAGCUUCCACCGGCCCUUAACAAACCUACCCUGGCGGGUGCCCCACCCCGUCAGGGGCGGCGUGCACCUUCCGCUCGGGUAGUUCACUUGAGAGGAAAGCAGCAUGAAAGAGCUCAGCCAACAGGCCGGGCCUGCGCUUUCCGGCGCUCCACAGCAAUGGCACGACGUCGAUUGGAGUCGUGUCCAGCGGAACGUCCGGGGAAUGCAGGUGCGGAUUGCGAAGGCUUGCCGGGAAGGCAAAUGGCGCAGGGUGAAAGCCUUGCAACGGAUGCUGACCCGCUCGAAGUCGGCCAGAUACUUGGCCGUACGGAGAGUCACGGAAAAUCAGGGGAGCCGCACGACGGGAGUCGAUAAGCAACUCUGGGAUACACCCAACGCGAAAUGGGAAGCGGUUGGUCAGUUGAAGACGCGGGGAUACAAGGCGCGGCCUCUACGGCGCGUCUUUAUCCCGAAGUCGGAUGGCCGGGAACGCCCUUUGGGUAUCCCGACCAUGACGGAUAGAGCCAUGCAGGCGCUAUAUCUGCUGGCGCUGUCUCCUGUCGCAGAAACCCGGGGCGAUCCGAAUAGCUACGGCUUCAGGAUCGAACGCUCCACGGCGGACGCGAUGGCGCAGUUGUUCGUAUGCCUAUCCAAGCGAGCUUCCGCUCAAUGGGUGCUGGACGCGGACAUCGAAGGGUUCUUCGACAACAUCAACCAUGAUUGGCUGAUAAGGAAUGUCCCCACGGAUACACGAGUACUCCGGCAAUGGUUAAAGGCCGGUGUUGUACACCGAGGGCAGUUGCACGCAACGGAUGCAGGUACGCCACAAGGGGGGAUCAUCUCCCCAACCUUGGCAAAUCUGGCGCUGGAUGGGCUGGAAUCACUCCUCAAGCAACAUUUGGGGGUGACGAGGGCGAAGAGGCUGAAGAUCAACGUGGUGCGUUACGCGGAUGAUUUCGUGAUCACUGGCGCCUCCCCGGAGGUACUGGAAAACGAGGUCAAACCCUGGGUGGAGCAGUUCCUGGCGGUACGCGGGCUGCGGCUUUCUCCCAAGAAAACCCGCAUCGUCCACAUCGACGAAGGCUUCGACUUCCUUGGAUGGAACUUCCGAAAGUACGACGGAACGUUGUUGAUCAAGCCGAGCAAGAAGAACGUCAAGGCGUUCUACGGCAAGGUCAGAGAGGUGAUCGACACCCACAAGACGAGUAAGCAGGAGGACUUGAUCCGACUGCUAAAUCCAAUCCUGCGGGGGUGGGCGCUUUACCAUCAGCCAGUAGUGGCCAAACAGGCGUAUAGCCGGAUGGAUAACAGGGCGUUUGUUAAGCUCUGGCGCUGGGCCAAAAGGCGGCAUCCAAACAAGUCCCUGGACUGGAUACGGAAGAAGUAUUUCCGUCCACAAGGGGAACGCGGAUGGGUGUUCGCCACCACGGUUCUGGAAGCGAACGGAACAAAACGGGAAGUCGAGUUGUACCAGCUUGCAGGGACACCGAUCGAGCGGCACAAAAAGGUGAGUGGGGAAUACAACCCCUACGACCCGACCAUGGAGGCGGCAGGCGAAAAACUGCGCAUGGAACGGAUGCUGAACAAGCUGAAGUACCGGAAGCAAAUCGCCAGUCUAUUCGCCAGCCAAAGUGGGUUAUGCGCGCUAUGCAAACAGCCGAUAUCCAGGGAAACCGGGUGGCACGAUCACCACAUUAUCUACCGCUCACAAGGCGGUGGAGACUCCCUGGAGAACCGGGUACUAUUGCACCCCAUUUGUCACCAACAGCUCCACGCACGUGGUCUGCAUGUGAGCAAACCGGCCCCCUUGGGGGUUUUGGAUAGGCCUGAGCCGUAAGCGCUGAAAGGUGCACGUACGGUUCUUAGGGGGGGAUCAGCCAGUAAUGGCUGGUUCCCACCCGAC